rnacentral:lncRNA from 1 species
GUGUGUACACCUGCAGAGUUGUAACAUGCGGGCAUUUCUCCCCUCAGCCCGCCAUUCUGGCUUCUUAACUUGCACCCUAACAGCUCGACAGAACCUUGGCGUCCACAAAAAGGACUUGAGGUGGGACAUGGAAGAACAGGGACCCCUCCUGGUUUGUCCACCCAGCCCACACCUCCAUUCCUCACCCAACCUACCACUUCAGAGCCGGGAAAAGACCUCAGAGAACAUCCGCUCCGACUCUACCGAGGCUCAGACAGGACAACAAGAGUGUGCUGGACACUGGGAAAUGUGGUCCAGGAGCAGUCACAGUCCCUAUAGACCUCCCACAAAUUACCGUAAUGCAAAGAGUGCUCAGCCCCUGCCGACAUGAGCAAUGGGCAGCGCGUCCAGCUGGGUUCCUGCCCCAUGAGAAGCACACAGCCUGGUUUGGUAGGUGGGGCUCCAUCAGGGCUGUUUGGAUACCUGGGUGGAGCCCACAGACCAGCCCCCACCUUGUGUGGUUAGGGCUUUGCUAGGAAGGCCCAUCUGUGCGCCAUGACCUUGGAACUCGAUGUGAGAUCCCUGGACCGGCAGCAGCACCUGGAAGCUUGUUGGAAAUGCUGAUCUCAGGUGGGACUCCAGAAUUCCCGCAUCUGCACCUGCACUCCCAAAAUACCUCCCCACCAGGUGAUCCGAGGCCAUGGGGCGGUCUGAAGGGCACUGUGCUGGGGCGUCCCACCACUAGAAAUCCAGUCCGGUAAUCUGAAGAUGUAAGUGCCCCCAGGAGGAGUGACGGAGUGACACAAAUGACACAAGGGGAGGGGACUUGUCAGGUGUCCACUCCUGACUGCAAGUUCCCAGGGCAGAAGGCAAUGCCCCCACAGGGACUUUUCCAGACACUCCGAGUGCACCUGAAUUGCAUUUUGAGUGAUGCUGCCUGCUAAGCAGGAAGAGCCCUCCGGAGCCUCGAAAAGCAGAGUGGAAGUGGUGGUGCCCAGGACGCAUGGGCUCUGAUGGGAAGAGGGAGGUGGGCCUGAGCAUGGGCCUUCUUCUCCCCAGGUCAGAGGGGCCUGGAUGCCCCUGGAGGGAACACUGAGGUCACCUCUGGCCAAAUCUUCCUGUUCUGCCAGUACCCAGCCCUGUUCAGUGACGUCAAGCUUUUGGGUCCCUGUCCUGGGGCCCUCCACGCUGGCCGGGCUGUGUAGAGACGCCCUUCUCUCCACUUUAUUGGGUCCAGAUUGUUGUGUGGCUUCUCCCCUCCUCUGCAGCCUGGGGUCUGAAAACAGCGAUGCCAACAGACAGACAGAUUUCCAAAAGAAAGGUCCGGCUCAGCCAAGGACAAAGGGGCCUCGCAGAGGCUCCUGGGGGUCAGAAAGCUGAGAGUCUACCAGGCAGGUGCCUUCUCCACCCACAGGCACAAGCUACAACAGCUUUCCAAGAAGUGCAUCCACAUCGUCCCCAGGUCCAGAUGCCCACAUUGCCCUGCAGGGACCAAGACCACACUCGGGCUGCUUGGACAGGAUGUAGCUGGUCACUGUUCUGGAGCUGGCCCCUCUGUAGCCUGUGACAAUCAGCUUGAGUCUCUCUGCCAAGUCUCCGCCUUCUGUUCUUCUUGCCGACCUUGAAGCAGAGUUGACGUUUCAGGUUUUUCCAGCAGACAAAGCUCACUCAAUCUGAUACUGUGGAGGUUGUUAAUUUAACAACCAACCCAUCCUCAUGUUGAGAAACCAGCUCCAAAUGCUCACCUGGCUGUCAGGGAUGGGGAGCCUCAUGGGUGAAAGAGGGUUGUGAUGGCAUAAUUUAAACCAAAAGAGGCAUUCGCGGUUGCCCGUGUUGCCUCAGGCCUGCUGGCCUCCUGCUGUGAACAUUUUGGGCAAUACUGUCUCUGCCAGUGACCCCCAAUUGUCCACUUGUCUCCAGCAAGAUCGAACCAUGUAAGUGCCAUUUCUGACAAGUUGGGUGAACGUUGGUUUCAAAUCAUCAGCUCUGCAUUCAAGUGCCCUGCUACAAUUCUGGCUCACUCUGUGGGAAUAACUGCCUGCCUGGGCACGUUGCUGUUGCUGCCUCCCAAACGGCAGUUUCUGGGGUCCCAGGUCAUCCAGGCUGGAUGUGGCUUGGGAGAGACCUGUGGCACCAGGUUGGAGGGAGGUCUCACCUCUCCUUUCUGAGCUGUGGACUGCAGCUUCAGGACCCUAUGGAUGAGGCCGAAUGUCAUGAAGAUAAUGGAAUUUGGAGUCUCAACAAAGCCAAGCCACAUGCCAGAGAUUCACCACCUGGGGCCCAGGAUCAGAAGUGUGCCCUUAGGAGGCCAAACAUCCACCUGUCUACCAACUAGACAUUUGGUCUCAGACAGCAAGAAAGGCUGCGUUUAUGUCAUUAGGGGGAACACCACGGUCUUCGGCAUGAGAGAGGUGUAAUUCUCAAGUUCAUCAGAGCUCGGCUUCCCCCAUGAGAGGAAACAAUUUGCCAGGUUGAAGAACACACGCUUUGAGGGUUCUCAGAGGCUGACACCUGUUGUGAAUCUUGGAAACUCAAGCCCCAGUGCAAACGGCCUUGAAGGAGGUCGAGCAUCAUGGUUCCAACAAGUGACUCGCUUUGAUAACCCGAUGUGUAAGCAGAAUCGCAAUGCAUCCGUCCUUCCCUAAUCAUCACGUGGCUGUCAUCUGGUCAAUGAACUGAGGCCCGAAGGCUUGAGUCAAACUGGUUUUCAAGGCUGUGCUCAUGGGAUUUAUAUGUUUCUUGAGCCCUGUUGGAGGCUCUUGGCAGGUCUGAACAUUAAACAUUUCUUUUCUUCCUUUUGC